rnacentral:lncRNA from 1 species
UCCGCGGCCUUAGCCUUCCCGCCGCGGCUGCGCGCGUCCCGCUGGCGCUCCAGCUUGGCACGGUCGGGCUCCGUCAGCGUGUCCGCCUCAGAGAGCGGCUUGUACUCCGCGCCGGUAGUCGCACCUCCCCGUGCCGCGCACGCGCGCAGGUACGUGAGCUCCUCCGCGUCUUCGUCGCUGAUCGUGCCGUUCUCCGCCUCCUCCUGCAGCCGCCGCCACUUCUCGCGGGUCAUCUGACCACCGAGGUGGCCGCACGCGAGCAGGUACGUGAGCUCCUCCGCGUCUUCGUCGCUGAUCGUGCCGUUCUCCGCCUCCUCCUGCAGCCGCCGCCACUUCUCGCGGGUCAUCUGACCACCGAGGUGGCCGCACGCGCGCAGGUACGUGAGCUCCUCCGCGUCUUCGUCGCUGAUCGUGCCGUUCUCCGCCUCCUCCUGCAGCCGCCGCCACUUCUCCUUCGUGGUUCGCCCUCCCCGUGCCGCGCACUCGCGCAGGUACGCGAGGUAGUCCCUGUCUUUCAUCCCGAUAGUCCCCGCCUCCUCAUCCGCCAAGAGCUGCCGCCACUUCUCGCGGGUCAUCUGACCACCGAGGUGGCCGCACGCGAGCAGGUACGUGAGCUCCUCCGCGUCUUCGUCGCUGAUCGUGCCGUUCUCCGCCUCCUCCUGCAGCCGCCGCCACUUCUCCUUCGUGGUUCGCCCUCCCCGAACGCACGGCACCGUCCACUCCGCGCCGUCGCCGUCGACCGUGACGCGUCGUCCCGCCGCCGCCGGGUCCACAUUGUGCAGACAGAAAAGGCUGUCGCACAUGUCGAUGGGCGG